GCACAGGUAGCUCCCUGGGUAGAGCAUGAGAUUCUUAAUCUCUGGGUCCUGGGUUCGAACCCCACCUUGGGCA